rnacentral:rRNA from 1 species
GACAGAGGGUGCAAACGUUGUUCGGAAUUACUGGGCGUAAAGCGCGUGUAGGCAGCUAGGAAAGUUGGAUGUGAAAGCCCUGGGCUCAACCUAGGAAGUGCAUUCAAAACUGCCAAGCUUGAGUACUGGAGAGGAAGGCGGAAUUCUCGGUGUAGAGGUGAAAUUCGUAGAUAUCGAGAGGAACACCGGUGGCGAAGGCGGCCUUCUGGACAGUUACUGACGCUGAGACGCGAAAGCGUGGGGAGCAAACAGG